GUUUAGGAGUGCAUUUCAAUCAACUUAAUUAUGCUUCUGCUCCUUACCUCUGUUGCCAGAACUGUAAAGAAAUGCUUCUGCGAGAGAUCGAGUCUUCUGCGUUUUCAGGGGCAAGCAACAACAGAUCAGCUAUAGUCCUCCUGAUCCAGUCAAGCUUUUAUCCACUUCCCUCUACAAACGGUUUCUCAGCUCUCUUAAUUUAGAUGGAUAGGAGAAGGUAGAGCCAUAAAGGAAACGAAUGGAUCAAGCAUAGGAGUUAAGGCACCCGUAGUAGAAGGAAUUGUUUUGUCUGAGUUUCUUGAUCUGGAAGUACAAUGGUCUGCAAGAGAAGAAACACUGAUGGACUAUCAGUGCAUAAUAAAACACUCUGAAUCUAGGAUGAAUCACUGUCUGGAUGACAUGAGAAUCUUAGUUUAUUUUCGAGACGAGAUGUGCAGGAUAGUGUUUCUUUAAUCUAUAAACAUUAAUCUAUGAAUGAGAUGAUAUCAUAUAUAUAAUCAAUGGUUUAGUUUGUUUGCUUUGAGUUUUGUUUUUACAUCUCCUAAUACUAGACUCAAACAAGCUUUGUUGGUAGGGUGGUGAGGACCAUCCAUAUGAUGAGGGGCUGCUAAUCUCUCUCUGGACUCAAACCCAAUUGUAAACAACAUUGGUCCAGAUAACACCAACAGGUGUGAUGCUGCUGCAACCAUCGAAGGCUGUUCAGAAGUGUCCAAACCGAUUCCUCCGCAAACUGUUCCGCUGGUCAACACGAAGAAACUAUAAAGGAUCUUGAUCACUCCAACUAUGGAGACAAGGUCCAGAUCUUAAGAAACUAUAAAAGAUCCUGAUCACUCCAACUAUGGAGACAAUGAAGCUGGCCAAAAGUUUCCCAAUUCCAUUUCCAGUUCCCAAGUAUUUACAAUUUACUGAAUAAGUCAUUGUCUUUCAACUUCUUAAUUAAUCAGUUCUGGUUUCGUUUGUUCAAGUACAAUUGGUACACAUGGUAAUUUUAGUAUUUAUGUUGAUAUAAAACUUUUUUGUUAACCA